CUGUGGUCCUCGUGCCCUGCUGCCCUGCUUCUAGGCCAUGGUGUGGUUUCCCAGCCUGGGUACAGGACUUGGCAGCCUCAUUUCUCAAUGUCCUCUUCUGCCUCAGGCCCUGGGGAUCUAAAACCAAAGCGAGGCUCCCCACACAGAGGCAGCCUUGACCGCACAGAUGCCUCCACCGAUCUGGCCAUGAGGUCCUGGCCCUCGGAGCUGGGCUCCCGGACCUGCUCAACUUCAGCCACCACUACAGCCCCUUCCAACUCCACCCCCAUCGCCCGGCACCCAGGCCGCACCAAAGGCUAUAACUCAGAUGACAACCUCUGUGAGCCAUCCCUGGAGUUUGAGGUCCCCAACCACAGGCAGUACGGGGGCUGAGCGUGUAGCUUCUACUUACAUACCUCCAGUGGUGGGGAAUUCGCUACCUCCCAAGCAUCACAGUUCUGGAAGCACCGACCUCUCCUCUUCAUGCCUUCAAGCACCCUUCCAGGCUGGCCAGGAAGUUCCGGUGGCCCAGUGUCGCGGCCAAGUAGCUUAGAGAGCAGUAGAAACACAUCCAGCAACAGCUCACCUCUUAACCUAAAAGGCUCCUCCGAGCAGCUCCAUGGCCGGUCUGAGAGCUUCAGCAGCGAAGACCUGAUCCCCAGCAGGGACCUGGCCACUUUGCCCCGGGAAGCCAGCACACCGGGACGCAACGCCCUCGGCCGCCACGAGUACCCCUUGCCUCGGAACGGGCCUCUCCCACAGGAGGGUGCCCAGAAGAGGGGCACAGCCCCUCCCUACGUCGGAGUGCGGCCCUGCUCGGCCUCCCCCAGCAGUGAGAUGGUCACCUUGGAGGAGUUUCUGGAGGAGAGCAACCGCAGCUCCCCCACCCAUGACACUCCCAGUUGCCGGGAUGACCUGCUGAGUGACUACUUCCGAAAGGCCAGCGAUCCCCCAGCCAUCGGAGGCCAACCAGGACCACCUGCCAAGAAAGAAGGGGCCAAGAUGCCCACCAACUUUGUGGCCCCCACCGUCAAAAUGGCCGCCCCCACCUCGGAGGGGAAGCCGCUGAAGCCCGG
rnacentral:sRNA from 1 species